GGGCCCAUAGCUUAGGUUGGCUGGAGCACCCGGCUGAUAACCGGNNUCACCGGUUCAAAUCCGGUUGGGCCCA
rnacentral:tRNA from 1 species